CCAUAAGCGAGGUUUUAGUAAACCAUGGUGCUACACAAUUUGUCCGAAUGUUGUCUUUCGCCCACUCGCACGCUAAAUUCUUUGUAAGUUGAUUCAAUGCACCUUGGCACUGUAAACCGAUCCAACAGCAACAUGAAUCAGACCUGCAACUGAGGAAAUGAACACAAUGCUUCCAACUCCAGAAGUCUUUAAAAGAUGAUGUACAAGUUGACACAUAUGGUAGCAAGAUUCCAA
rnacentral:lncRNA from 1 species